CUCUGUUUUUCUCCCUUACAAAAGCUCUCAGAACAAUCUAUGAAUGAUAAUGAAUAAUUAAUUCCUAGAAUAAUGUAUUUCUCUCCUAAAAGAGUUGACAUUUCCUUAAUUGGUCAUUCUCAUCCAAUGCAGAAAAGCAAUUCCAAGGCAGACCCAAAAUGGCAAAAACAGCUGGCCUUCAAAACAGCACUUUUGACCCAAAAAUCAGUUUGCUGGAUUCGCAGGGUUCGCGGGGCGAACUGGUCCUGUCAUGCAGUUCGCGGGGCGAACUUUGUUCGCGGGGCGAACUGAAGCUGCCUCAGUUUCCUUGUUUUGCAAGCUUCAUCCAAAAUCUUCCAUAUUAUGAUGCUGCAAUCCAAAGCUUUCUCAUCCAAAAAUUCUACAAAACUAACAAAUAUGUGAAAUAACUAUUCAAAACAAAAUAAAUUAAACCUAAUUGCAUUUAUACAAAAUAGUGAGAAUAAAAGUGUGUAAUUACAUCAAAACUUGGUAAAAGGGACCAAUAAAAUGGUAUAAAAAGUAGUACUAAUUGGUCCCUAACAAUUAUGUGCCAAAAUUGCAAAACAAAGGGGGAGGUAUACAAAAAUAAGAGGAUAUUUCAACUUGGAACAAAAACAGAAAAAAAAAUGGGGUUUCAUCAUAAAAGAGGGGUAUAUUCUGAAGAAGAUUUCAUCUAGGAACUUGGUUGAGUUUUGAUGAAGACAACAAUAUCAACAAAGAAGAAAAAGAUGAAUGUGACAUUUAACCAAUAUAAAAAUGGCAAGGAUCGUCUAAGUUAAGGUUAAGCAUGCCUUUACUUUAAUAUAUCACCAUUCAACUUAUAUGUCACUUAAAAGUCUCAUAAAACUUCAUUUAAUCAUAAGAUAACUUGUUUACAAAGUUAAAAGAUAGAACCCAUUAAAGAAAUAUGUUUAAUUUAAUUUUUAAAAGAAAGCAAAUGUUGUAAUUGUUGGGUUUGGGUUCCAUUCCUACGUGGAGAAAAGCCCAAAUAUGAUUAGCCCAUUUGUAUCACUUAUUUAAGUGGAGAGGUUCAACUUAGGGUUGAGAGAGAUAGAGUGAAAAUAAGGAUUCAAAAGAGAGAAAAGAGGAGAAACACUCAUUCCUGUUUUUCUGCAAUCAGUCUCAUUAAAUCAAUGAUCUUCGAUUUGUUAAACAUUGGAUCGAGCUCAAAUUUGGAGGGAAGGUUCGUAAACAUAUACUAGGAUCUGGUGGGCACUAUAUGCUUAGGAUAAUGCUAGGUGAUGAGUGACAAGGUACGAGCCAUACACUUAGGAAUGGGACUAAGUGUUGGUGAGCGGGUUUGGAUGCGUUAUAUAGAGUAUGAUGUUCUUUAUGCUAUGUUGAACUAAGAUGGUUGGGUAAUUGGUAAAAAUGAACCAUAAUUACCGUGUUAUGUCUAAACUUGGUGUUGGAUAUGGAUGCGUGUAUAUCAUCCUACAUGAUGGAUACCCAGUUGACUAGUAUCAUAGGUUAGUAACAUAAUAAGUGUGAUUAAGGUUAUGAGAUGCUAAGAAUGUCACAUAAAAACCUAGAUUAAUCAUAUACAAUUACGGAGAAUCAUGGACGACACUCUUAUGUUUUUAUUAUAUUCAUAAAGAGUUGAACUGGAAGGACCUACAGAGUGUCACAAUAUCUCUACUGGGCACAAGCUACACGAAUUAUCCCUUCAUCCAGGUGUGGGAUUUGUGAAGAUCUCAGUCUCGACGUGUCAUUCUUGAUGUUGCAAAACUAUGUGUUACUAGCCUAUUCUGUUACACUUAUUUAUAGAUGCUACAAAAUUAUGUGUCACUGGCCUUUUCUGUGACGGUUCAAAAAACUAUCGCCCAAACCGUCGUAAAUUUUUACGACAGUUAUGGAAUUGACUUUAACAAUAUAAAUUUGACGGUUUUAACUGUCGUCAAAUUAUAAUGAUGUUUUGUAAAGUUGUAAGAGUCCAAACUAUCAUAAAUUUCCUUUUGAGAAAUCAUUAACAUAUAUUUUGUAACCAUUUAAAGUGAUGUUAUACAUUCAUUAUAUUUUUUACUUUAGCACCAUUAACCUGUAGGAAUCAGACUAAAGGAUCAGGCUAGAUCUUAGACUGUUAGUAUCACUAAUAAUGAAUCAAAGGGCACCAAAAUAAACCAAAAACCACAACCAACCUUACAAACAAGACAAACCUUUUAUCGAUUUUUGAUGUUUUUAUUUAAACAUAGGAUAAGAUUUUCAAAUUAGUUUGAGAAAAUUAAUGAAUUUAUCAAUGUUUUAUCUAAAAAUUAAUUUUUGAUCAACUAAAUACUUUUAUCCUCCUCCCCCUCUUUCUCCUUUGAUGAAACAACAUUGAAGAUACCUUCAUUAAUUGACCAAACAACAUAACAUGUCAAAUCAUGUGAGGCUUGGUCGUUCAUCCCAACCAACAGUUGGGAUCUAUUUCUAUUUUUAUUGUAGUGAUAAUAUACAAAAUGUAUAAAUUCUUACUUCAAAUAUAUAAUGAUUGCUUCUUACGGUUUGCACCAACAUGCUAAAGAGAACAACUACACACAUUGAUUAAUAAAGA
rnacentral:lncRNA from 1 species